rnacentral:rRNA from 1 species
GACGAACGCUGGCGGCGUGCCUAAUACAUGCAAGUCGAGCGGAUGACGGAGGAGCUUGCUCCUCCUGAUUCAGCGGCGGACGGGUGAGUAACACGUGGGCAACCUGCCCUGUAGAUUGGGAUAACUCCGGGAAACCGGGGCUAAUACCGAAUAAUCCUUCGGACCUCAUGGUCCGAUGUUGAAAGACGGCAUCUCGCUGUCACUACAGGAUGGGCCCGCGGCGCAUUAGCUAGUUGGUGAGGUAACGGCUCACCAAGGCCACGAUGCGUAGCCGACCUGAGAGGGUGAUCGGCCAAACUGGGACUGAGACACGGCCCAGACUCCUACGGGAGGCAGCAGUAGGGAAUCUUCCACAAUGGACGAAAGUCUGAUGGAGCAACGCCGCGUGAGUGAAGAAGGUUCUCGGAUCGUAAACUCUGUUGUGAGGGAAGAACAAGUACCGGAGUAACUGCCGGUGCCUUGACGGUACCUCAUUAGAAAGCCACGGCUAACUACGUGCCAGCCGCCGCAGUAAAAC